GUGGUUUAAUUCGAUACAACACGCAAAACCUUACCAGCCCUUUACAUAUGAACAUGUCCUUAAUAGGAUGGUACUGACUUUCAUAAAGGUGUUGCAUGGCUGUCGUCAGCUCGUGUCGUGAGAUGUUUGGUCAAGUCCUAUAAUGAGCGAAACCCUUGUUUUGUGUUGCUGAGACAUGUGCCUAAGGAGAAAUUGCCACCGAGUGACGUGCCAGCGCUACUACUUGAUUGAGUGCCAUCACAUAGUUGUGCUUUCGGCAAGAAUUUAACCAUUGGGAGCCGGUGCCUUUCGAAGCACUUUCACAUGUGAACCGAAGUUUUCUUGCCCGUUCGAUUCCACAAUAGAACAAAUAAUGAAAUGAAUGAAUGAAAGCCAUGACCAUGCCUCCAGUAGGAAGAUCGAGGAACCGGUGCUGGCGCUCUUGGUUCAUGGGAUCCUAACCGCGAUGGGGAGAUUAGAUAUUAUUCUUUCGUAAGUGCAUCCAAUGGAAAUAGGUUGAGGAAUCAAAUCAAUAAGCCAUGAACGAAGAAGUAGUGGGCCUUUCGC
rnacentral:rRNA from 1 species